GACGAACGCUGGCGGCGUGCUUAACACAUGCAAGUCGAACGGAAAGGCCCUGCUUUUGUGGGGUGCUCGAGUGGCGAACGGGUGAGUAACACGUGAGUAACCUGCCCUUGACUUUGGGAUAACUUCAGGAAACUGGGGCUAAUACCUGAUAGGAGCUCCUGCUGCAUGGUGGGGGUUGGAAAGUUUCGGCGGUUGGGGAUGGACUCGCGGCUUAUCAGCUUGUUGGUGGGGUAGUGGCUUACCAAGGCUUUGACGGGUAGCCGGCCUGAGAGGGUGACCGGCCACAUGGGGACUGAGAUACGGCCCAGACUCCUACGGGAGGCAGCAGUGGGGAAUAUUGCACAAUGGGCGGAAGCCUGAGGCAGCAACGCCGCGGGCGGGAUGACGGCCUUCGGGUUGUAAACCGCUUUCGCCUGUGACGAAGCGGGAGUGACGGUAAUGGGUAAAGAAGCACCGGCUAACUACGUG
rnacentral:rRNA from 1 species